UGUCAGAAUCUGUUCAUCUUUAAAGAGGAAUAUCGGGCACUAUUUAAUUGUGUACUUGGAGGAGAGUUGUGGUAUUAUUUUUCAUCCUCUCACUUUUCCUUGUGAGUACUUGGCGGAGCUUUGAUGUUACUGUGAAUGAAGCCGGUGGUACUAAUGUGCCAUUGAGACACUGAAACUGCUGUUCAACGAGAUGAUGCUGAUUUUAGGAGGGGUUGAAGCUGCAGCCAGUAAAGAGAUUCCCAACUUCUUGGAGUGUUCGGACUCUUAAGGUGGCUGUGGAUUGUAUAUACUAUGCUGCCAUACCCCCUCCCCUAUUGGUCUGUCAAGUGGCGGCUCCAUUUUCUUUUCAGGUAAAGGCACCUCCUCCAUCUAAUUGAGAAGGCAAAAGGAAUAUCUUGUUAAUAACAGUUUUGAAUUUUGAUUUAGAGUCAGAAACCAGUUUUGGUGCUUUCUACAGUUGUAGAUGAGACAUUUAUGUAUAGCUGUCUUCCCCUCUGGCCCUCAGCACCGGUUGCAAGAGAUGAAAGAGGUCACAAAUGCUCUAGGUCGUAAAUCGCUG